rnacentral:rRNA from 1 species
GACGAACGCUGGCGGCGUGCUUAACACAUGCAAGUCGAACGGUAAGGCCCUUCGGGGUACACGAGUGGCGAACGGGUGAGUAACACGUGGGUGAUCUGCCCUGCACUUCGGGAUAAGCCUGGGAAACUGGGUCUAAUACCGGAUAGGACCACUGCCUGCAUGGGUGGUGGUGGAGAGCUUUUGCGGUGUGGGAUGGGCCCGCGGCCUAUCAGCUUGUUGGUGGGGUGAUGGCCUACCAAGGCGACGACGGGGAGCCGGCCUGAGAGGGUGACCGGCCACACUGGGACUGAGAUACGGCCCAGACUCCUACGGGAGGCAGCAGUGGGGAAUAUUGCACAAUGGGCGCAAGCCUGAUGCAGCGACGCCGCGUGAGGGAUGACGGCCUUCGGGUUGUAAACCUCUUUCAGCACCGACGAAGCGCAAGCGACGGUAGGUGCAGAAGAAGGACCGGCCAACUACGUGCCAGCCGCCGCCGUAAAAC